rnacentral:rRNA from 1 species
GGGUUGUGAGGUUAAGCGACUAAGCGUACACGGUGGAUGCCCUGGCAGUCAGAGGCGAUGAAGGGCGUGCUAAUCUGCGAUAAGCGCCGGUAAGGUGAUAUGAACCGUUAUAACCGGCGAUACCCGAAUGGGGAAACCCAGUGUGAUUCGUCACACUAUCAUUAACUGAAUCCAUAGGUUAAUGAGGCGAACCGGGGGAA